CAUGGCUUCAUCCAUAAUGAUUUUUUGUAACAGAUUAGUGAUAAUGAAUGUCAUAAUAAACUGUUAUCUAAAAUAAAAGUUCAUCCCAAGCUCACAUAGGCCAGAGGCCCCAGACUUGGAACAGAUACUUAAAUACCGAGAGGUUAAACAAGUUUUUUAAAAUCUCAACUAAAUGAAGAAGAAGCAACGCACAACAAUACACACAGUAAAAAUCACACAGUUUAAACUAAUAAAGAGUCCAAUAUCAGAAUAAGUAACAAAUUAAACAAAACAAAAAUUGAAAAUGACGACAUUACAAAAAUCAACAACGCACUACGAACAGUUACCGACAUGUCAGCUCCAGACCUCAAUUAAACUGUUCGAAAAACUAUGUCUUGAAUAUAUACGAAAAUCUAGCACCAUCCCGUCAUGGGGGUUUAAUAUCAUAUCAC
rnacentral:lncRNA from 1 species